UGCAUUAUCUAUUUAUUUACUAACCCAAACAACUUUAAAUUUACAUGCGAGCCAUGUCGCAGCUUUUCCGAAGACCUCUCUUCAAAAAACUUCCACGCGACUGCAAAGCUACCCUUACAAAGUCACUACAAUCAUAUUAUUAUGUACGUCUCUAUGCAAGUCUCGACUAGCAUUGAGACUAUAUAAACCAGCCAUUCAUUACAAAUCAAAGCAUGCAGCAUAUUACAUACUGAUGCAAAUCAUGCGCUACAAAAGUUACUACAAAUCCUUGAAAUACGUUCACUACAAGCAUAAUUUUGGAAGUCAUGCACUACAAGUAGUGAAGCUUCUUAUUAUAUGUUUGUAAAUGUCAUGGCGAUAUCUAGUUAGCUAACUUUAAAAUUAAUACUAAAUUUAAUUAAUUUUAAUGACAUUAUAUAAUGCGAAAUAUAAGAACCGUUGGUGUUCGUCAGGAAGAUUUGGCUGGUUAGUACAGUGUUACUAGUUUAAAAUCCACGAUCAGCAUUAUGUACCGUAAAUGAUCUUAUUAACGCCUGGGCGUUUAUUAAGCGCUUCAAAAGAUGGGGAGAGUAGUGAGUACUUAUUUGAGAGUAGCGAUUACUCUUACAUAGUUAUAGUUCAGUCUAACAUUUCUUGAAUAACACUUUCUGACAGAUGUUAUAGUACACCUUUCAGCGGCAAAAAAUGUUGGACUUCACAUUCAUUCAGUUAUGGGUUAAGAAAUGUUCUUUUAACGUUGUCGUAAAUUUCUCCAAAUAUUUCCUAUAAGUAUUA